GACAGUGUGGUGUAGUGGUUUGAGCAUUGCACUAUGAUUCUGUAGGCCAGGGUUUAAAUCCCCACCCAGCCA